ACAGGCCAAAGCUCGACUCCAGCUGGUGCUUCAGGCUGCAGCUAAAACCGAUGAAGCACUGAAAGCACAGGAGAGUAUGAGAGAGGAAAAGACAAAGGAGGAGGAGGAAAUGUCUCUCGCCGAGCAGGUGAAGAGGAUAAAGGAUAUCGAGGCCAUUGAGAGCGACUCCUUUGUUCCUCA